rnacentral:rRNA from 1 species
CCCUUAGAUGUCCGGGGCCGCAAGCGCGCUACACUGAAGGAAUCAGCGUGGCUUUCUCCCUGACCCGAAAGGGUUGGGAAACCCGUUGAAUCUCCUUCGUGAUAGGGAUUGGGGCUUGAAAUUGUUCCCCAUGAACGAGGAAUUCCCAGUAAGCGCGAGUCAUAAGCUCGCGUUGAUUACGUCCCUGCCCUUUGUACACACCGCCCGUCGCUACUACCGAUUGAACGGUUUAGUGAGGGCCUCGGAUUGGUCUCGGCCCGCUCUUUACCGGGCGGCGCCGUUGGUCGAGAAGACGCUCGAACUUGAUCGUUUAGAGGAAGUAAAAGUCGUAACA